GGGUGGGGAUCUUCGGACCUAUCCACCUGGAGAUGAGCCCGCGUGCCAUUAGGUAGUUGGCGGGGUAAUGGCCCACCAAGCCGAAGAUGGCUAGCUGGUCUGAGAGGAUGAUCAGCCACACUGGAACUGAGACACGGUCCAGACUCCUACGGGAGGCAGCAGUGGGGAAUAUUGCGCAAUGGGGAAACCCUGACGCAGCAACGCCGCGUGUGUGAUGAAGGCCUUCGGGUCGUAAAGCACUGUGAGGUGGAACGAGCCGCCGGGGGCUAAUACCCUUCGGCCCGACGGUACCACCAGAGGAAGCACCGGCUAACCCUGUGCCAGCAGCCGCGGUAAUACAGGGGGUGCAAGCGUUGUUCGGAAUUAUUGGGCGUAAAAGCGCGUGUAGGCGGACCAUUAAGUCUGGUGUGAAAUCCCUCGGCUUAACCGAGGACGUGCAUUGGAUACUGGUGGUCUUGAGUCCUGGAGAGGG
rnacentral:rRNA from 1 species